AACGAACGCUGGCGGCAGGCUUAACACAUGCAAGUCGAACGGGUGUAGCAAUACAUCAGUGGCAGACGGGUGAGUAACACGUGGGAACCUUCCUAGGGGUACGGAACAACUCAGGGAAACUUGAGCUAAUACCGUAUACGUCCGUGAGGAGAAAGAUUUAUCGCCCUUAGACGGGCCCGCGUCGGAUUAGGUAGUUGGUGGGGUAACGGCCUACCAAGCCUACGAUCCGUAGCUGAUCUUAGAGGAUGAUCAGCCACACUGGGACUGAGACACGGCCCAGACUCCUACGGGAGGCAGCAGUGGGGAAUCUUGGACAAUGGGCGCAAGCCUGAUCCAGCCAUACCGCGUGAGUGAAGAAGGCCUUAGGGUUGUAAAGCUCUUUUACCAGGGACGAUAAUGACGGUACCUGGAGAAUAAGCCCCGGCAAACUUCGUGCCAGCCGCCGCCGUAACAC
rnacentral:rRNA from 1 species